GGCAGAUGAUGGUUUUAUCUCACGAUGGUCUGCGGAUGCCACUGAUUGGCAGUGUCGAUAAUGCCACAGGCUUAACUGAUGCCAGGAG